CACGGGGGGAGCAAGCGUUGUUCGGAAUCACUGGGCGUAAAGGGCGUGUAGGCGGUCAAGUAAGUGGAAUGUGAAAGCCCCCGGCUUACCCGGGGAUCUGCAUCCCAAACUGCUUGGCUUGAGUACGGGAGAGGAUAGGGGAAUUCCUGGUGUAGCGGUGAAAUGCGUAGAUAUUGGGAAGAACACCGGUGGCGAAGGCGGCGACCUGGUCCUUGACUGACGCUGAGGCGCGAAAGCGUGGGGAGCAAACAGG
rnacentral:rRNA from 1 species